UGGACCUCAGAUCAGGCAAGAUUACCCGCUGAGUUUAAGCAUAUCACUAAGCGGAGGAAAAGAAACUAA
rnacentral:rRNA from 5 species